rnacentral:lncRNA from 1 species
UGGUUUUGUAACAUGUGGGAACUGAAGUUCUUACUCUGCCAUUUGCUGGGAAUUUAUUUGCUAAAAGGAAGUUCAAUGCAGGCUUUUCUGAUAGCAAACAAAAAGAUAUGUCUCACUUAAGUUUCCCCAGAUGAAUCGUAAAAUAUAACUUAAUAUGCACAUGCAUCUGUUCUGUGGAAACUAGAGACAGGAGGAAAAUUAUAUACCUGACCUGCUCUAGGACUACAAGAGCCCACGUUCCUGUUAUGCAGCAGAGCUGAUAUCCUGGCAGAUCUUUCUCAAACUGUGAUGUGAACUGGCAAGUGGGCUGCCAAGACUGAGAUGAAAGAGCACGACAGAGACUCCAGAGUAUGGCAGGGCUUGUUGGCAGCGGGGCCGCUCCCACCCCGCAUUCCCCGGGUGGUGAUGAUGUGUGAAAUAGUGUCCUCUGCUGCACGAACCGACGCGGUGCGCCCGCCCUGAGUUGCCCCGCAGGAAGGCAGACUGGAAGGGAAAGCUCCAGCCCUUGAACAGCUGUAAAUCCUGAUCUAAAGGUAAUAUUUUCCCUAUUAGUGGGAAUAUAAUCUAUUUUAAUAACUAAAUCAGCUGACAAAAAUAGAUGCCUUGAAUGGAGGAUUGGUCCGUUGCAAAAACCUGUGACAGCUAUUGAUAUUGUUGCUGAGUUUUGUCUCUUUCAUAAGGAUAAAGG